ensembl:lncRNA
UUUUUAUUUUUUGUUUUUGUUUUUUGAGACAGGAUUUGGCUCCGUCACCCAGGCUGGAGGGCAGUGGUAUGAUCACAGGGCACUGCAACCUCCACCUUCUGGGCUCCAGCAAUGCUCCCACCUUAGCCUCCCUACUAGCUAGGACUACAGGCCUGUGCCACCAUGCCCAGCUGGUUUUUUAAAAUUAUUUUUUGUAGAGAUGUGGCCUCGCUAUAUUGCCCAAGCUGGUCUUGAACCCCUGGGUCCAAGUGAUCCUCCUGCCUCAGCCUCCUGAAGUGCUGGAAAGGCAGGUAUGAGCCACUGUGCCUGACCUGGACUUCUCUUUUGAGAUGCAGUCAUGGUGGUGGAAACAACACAGGCUCUGGAGCCAUUCUACUGCUCCCUGCCUUGUGAUGUUGCCCAUCAGUAAAAAUGGGGAUAACAGCUGUACCCAUUGCAUAGCACUGGGUUGUGAGGAUCCCAUGAGUGAAUGUGUGUAAGAACAGUGCUGGGCACCAUGCACCCUGCAUGCACGUUAUUGUCAAGGGAAGCUGUUCCCAGAGGGUGGUGCCUGUGACUUCCCCUGGUGGUGGUGGUGGACCAGCCCCCCACCACCCAUCCACCCCCUCCAUUGUGGAGGCCUUGUGUGCCAGGCUGGCCCUAAGGGCACCCACCUGUGUUACUGCUAUUCUGUUUUCCAGCUAUCUGGUUCUGUCAUUAUACAUUCUGGAAGACUUCAUCCUAAAAAGCCUAUUGAAUUGCUCUUUCCCCUCAUGUUUUAUUUCUAAGAGCUCGUUCUCAUCCUGAGUGUUCUUUCUCUAUAGCCCCCAGUUCCUUUUUAUUGCCUGUAAUACCUCUAAUAUCUCUGAGAAUGGCAUUUUAGUUUUCAUUUUUCUUUGGCUUCCUUUAUUGUCUCUGUUUCUUCUGAGUCCCUUUGCUUCUUUCUCAGGUGUCUGAUGAUCCUGGGCUGUCCAGUUGCUUUUAAGAAUGAGAUGCUUUUAGUGGCUGGGGCUUAUGGCCUGGUGAGCUUCGAGGCCAGGGAUCUGGCUGGGCCAUUCUACUGGGCAACCCUCUGCCCCUAGCUGCCCUGCCAGUCUUUUCUUUUGAGCUGGGAGCUGCAGCAGAAAGGAGCCCUCCUCUCUGAGGAGGCUGAUGGCAUGUCGGUGGUCAGACCCAGCCCAGGGGGUGGAGGUAAGGCAAGGACCCAGAGUCUCACUUAUUCCCAGGCUUUCAGACAGAGCCUUGCUUGGGCAGGGCCUCAGAGCUCCUCUCCCAGAGUUCACGUCUCAGCCACUGCACUGCCUGCCAGCCCCGGUGGGUAUGGACAGAGGUCUGGGGUUUCCUUUCUGUAGCUGUGCUUUCACCCACGACCCUCAGACACCGGCCUCCAUGGCCGCGUGGGCUGGAGUAGCUCUCACUGUCCAUCUUCCUCCAGCUCUACAAUAUCCCAGCUCUUUGCCCUUGCAGGGUUUGUCUUUAUAAAACCCCUUUCCUAUAAUUUCAGAGGGUUUCAGGAGGAAGGCGGGGAAUAUGCUGCCCUAUUUAAGUAAAGGUGUCUGUAUUAAAUUCUAAACGUUCCCAGGGUUGAAAGGAGGCCUGCCCGGGAUGCCUUGUGGCCUCAGGCACUGAAGGUGCCUGAGCUUACAGAUGUGGCUUCUUCAGAUGACCAAGUUAGGGUCUCGGGACUGGGUGCAGCAGAUGGCAAAUGUCCAGGACGGGCAGCUUUCCCA